GACGAACGCUGGCGGCGUGCUUAACACAUGCAAGUCGUACGGAAAGGCCCUGCUUUUGUGGGGUGCUCGAGUGGCGAACGGGUGAGUAACACGUGAGUAACCUGCCCUUGACUUUGGGAUAACUUCAGGAAACUGGGGCUAAUACCGGAUAGGAGCUCCUGCUGCAUGGUGGGGGUUGGAAAGUUUCGGCGGUUGGGGAUGGACUCGCGGCUUAUCAGCUUGUUGGUGGGGUAGUGGCUUACCAAGGGUUUGACGGGUAGCCGGCCUGAGAGGGUGACCGGCCACAUUGGGACUGAGAUACGGCCCAGACUCCUACGGGAGGCAGCAGUGGGGAAUAUUGCACAAUGGGCGGAAGCCUGAUGCAGCAACGCCGCGUGCGGGAUGACGGCCUUCGGGUUGUAAACCGCUUUCGCCUGUGACGAAGCGUGAGUGACGGUAAUGGGUAAAGAAGCACCGGCUAACUACGUG
rnacentral:rRNA from 1 species